AACGAACGCUGGCGGCAGGCCUAACACAUGCAAGUCGAGCGCCCCGCAAGGGGAGCGGCGGACGGGUGAGUACCGCGUGGGAACGUACCCUUUGCUACGGAAUAGCCUCGGGAAACUGGGAGUAAUACCGUAUGUGUCCUUCGGGAGAAAGAUUUAUCGGCAAGGGAUCGGCCCGCGUUGGAUUAGGUAGUUGGUGGGGUAAUGGCCUACCAAGCCGACGAUCCAUAGCUGGUUUGAGAGGAUGAUCAGCCACACUGGGACUGAGACACGGCCCAGACUCCUACGGGAGGCAGCAGUGGGGAAUCUUAGACAAUGGGCGCAAGCCUGAUCUAGCCAUGCCGCGUGAGCGAUGAAGGCCUUAGGGCUGUAAAGCUCUUUCAGGGGGGAAGAUAAUGACUGUACCCCCAGAAGAAGCCCCGGCUAACUCCGUG
rnacentral:rRNA from 1 species